rnacentral:rRNA from 1 species
UACGGGGGGGAGCAAGCGUUUGUUCGGAUUGACUGGGCGUAAAGGGCGCGUAGGCGGUUCGUACAGUCAGACGUGAAAUUCCUGGGCUCAACCUGGGGGGCUGCGUUUGAUACGUGCGGACUUGAGUGCGGAAGAGGCGAGUGGAAUUCCUGGUGUAGCGGUGAAAUGCGCAGAUAUCAGGAGGAACACCGAUGGCGAAGGCAGCUCGCUGGGACGGUACUGACGCUGAGGCGCGAAAGCGUGGGGAGCAAACAGG